AAAAAAUUUACAAUCCCAUUAUAUUUUUUUAUAGAUUCUAACAUACUUUUACGUAUCUUAAUACAUUUUUUACAUAUUUUUUAACCACUAACAAAAGUCCUAUAAGACUAGUUUUAGCAUUUUUCAUAUAUAAGAAUAAUAAAUUUACAAAUGAGUCUAUGAUGAAAGCAAAAGAAAUCUCAUCGCACAUGGUUGAUUAUUGAUGGUGGUAGGUUAGACCCACCUUUCUACUAGUCAAUUUUUGUGAAGUAACGCAACCCAUUCACUUUGUCCAUUUCUUGCCUUCUUUUCUUAUUAGCUCUCGUAAAGAAAUUUCAAGAAGUGUCCAAGAAAUGGGCUAGGUAUACAAGGUUAAAAUGGAUUGAAGUUUAUUUGAAAUCCAUGCUUUUGAAAAAGGUUACAUCUUGGGGUGGAAUGAACCCAAUCCAAGAAAGCUCAAUUUGAAUCAUGACCAAAGUUGGCUUUUAUGACUCAACGUGUCAACACUCUGCCUCUUGCGAUUUUGUAAAAUUGUUUGCCUUCAAACCUCUCUCAAGACAAAUAUCAUGAAAUUGUCUUGGUAGUAAGGUGUUUUCUUACCACAUGGGUCAUGUUUGGAUUCGAAUCUCAUUGUUACAUACAAAAAACUAUCAUGUAAUCAUUUGUCCAUUAAAUAAUAAGAAAACACAUGAUCAUUUUGUCUGAAAAAUAAAAGACAAAGUGAUCAUGUGUCCCCUUACUAUUAAAAGAAAGUUAUAAAUUACACCUAUUAGAUAAUUUCUCUACUGUCGUGGCUUCUUUUUUUCCUACUCCCCCUCAUGUCGAUUGUAAAUUAAAAUAUAAAAAAUAAACAAAUGAACUCCCGGAAUAUCUCCUAAGAAUAGAUAAUUUUUAAUAUGAGUGUAAGACUCACAAAACAUAAAACAUACUUCAUAUGCUUAUGUCUCCUUUAUGGAGUAACUGAAAAAAAAAGAGUUGAAAACAAUGAAGCCAAGCAAAAAGCAUCCAAAAACUAAUGGACAAGGCAAAUCAGAGUCUUCUUCAUCAUUAAUACCUCCAAUAACACAACAUCCAUGAGAAGACUUUCUCUUUCUCAAGAACCCACCAUACCUAUAGAGCUUAGAAACGAGGAGGAGGAGAAGGAGGUCUUUGACAACCACGCCCUCCUGAAGGAGAAGAUGGAGGUAUCUGGCAUACUCAAAAAGGCCUUAAAAAUCUCAAACCAAAACACCAAUUUCACAAUCUUCAUCUUCUUAACCUCUCUCCCACUUCUCAUCACCAUGGUUUUCAAUGAAGUAAUCUUUCAAAGAACACUUGUUGAAGCCUCAAAAAUGCUAUUCAGCCUUCGCAGCUGUUUUUGCAGCAGUGCUAGGAAAGUACUUGGAAGUGUGUGCACUGUGCAACAUGCGUAUGGUGAUUUCUGUUUUGGAAAGGAUUAAUUGGGCCGAAGCAAUUGCACUCUCAGAUUACUUCAGAAGAGACAGCAAGAGACAUGGACUCUUUUUUUAUGCUUGCUUUCUUUGUUUGGGGAUUUGGGUUACGGUCACUAUGCCUUGUUUCUGGCUGCUCCAAGAGUGUGGGACGGGUGGUUGUGCCGGUGAGCUUGCUUUGGAUGGGGAAAUGUGGGGAAAUGUGAUCAAGCAGGCGUCUAUCAUGAUUUACUUUUAUGAUAGCAAAGAGCAGACUCUGGAGGUCGGUGGAGAGGAGGUUGUCGAUGCAGGGGCAAUGGUUCGGGAUAGAAGUAGUUCACAAGAGAUGAUUGAUGAGAAAACAAAACCAGAAGCCUUAAAGGCUCAUAGACUAUAGUGUUGCUUCAGUGUGACUUAGAUCAUUAUAUCUUGAGAAGCAGAUGUCUAAAAAGAUCAAUGCGAGAGUCAAAUUAUGUCUAAAGUUAGUGGUGUCAAAUGCUAACCUUGAUCUAUCGCUAAGUUCUACAAGUUUAUAAUUUUUUGUAAUUUACUACAUUUGUUAUAUAUAACAAUUUCAAUUUUUUGAUCCAUCUGCGAGUUCUAUAAAUUUACAAUUUUUUGUAAUUUAUUGUUUCUGUUAUAUAUAAACAAUUUCAAUUUUCCAAACCAAUAUGCAUCUCAAAUUUUGAUCACCUUCUGAGUACGUCGCAUUGUUUCUCUUUCCUCUUUUCGGCAGAAAUUGUUCAUGAUCUUCGAACUUUUCUUUGUGCCAAUCUUUGCAUGUCAAUAUCUAAUGACUGACUCAUUUGUGAUGCUUUUGGUGCAAAGGACAGUAAUCUCAAGUCUCUUAUUGAAGGAAAAGUAGAGGGGGCAACAAGAAAAGUUAGAGAGAUCCUCCAUGCCCUACAUUCUAGGUCAAAAGUAUACUUUCACUUUGCAUGCCCUAAAUUAGUUUGGUGCAUUGCACAUGACAAUAGUUUGCAUGCAUAAUUCACUAAAAGCCCCACCCAAAAAGACAGAUCCUCUUUAUGCCCAACUAGUAUGGGUCAAACUCCAUCUGACAAACACCUUUCAAUUUCACCCCACCCACUCUUAGCAUGGUGCAUUACACGACACUAGUUUGGUACACUGCUAAAAGAAUAUAAUAAUAAUAAUAAUAAUAAUAAUAUAUUAAGGGUUCAUUUCACUUUUAUCCAUUAAUCUAUCACCAUUUUUUCUAUUUCACUUCUAUUUCAGCCACAAACUAUCAAUUUCAUCUAUUUAAUUAUUAAAAUUUCUAAUUUCAGUUCAUGUAAUCCAAUUAGAAACGAUUAGUAAUCGUUAAAACCUAAUUUAAUGAUAAAAAACAUCUGUCCAAAAUUUGAACAAUUUAACCAAAGCAAACACCCAUCAAAUUGAUUUGUGGGGUGUAGUUUGUUCAAAAUAUUUAAAAAAAAAAGUCUGUAUGUUUGGUUGUCUUUUCUUACCAAUCAAAUCAAACUUCAACUAUUAUUAUUUUGUUUGUCUCUAAUGAACCACAUGAACUGAAAUAAGAAACUCUAGAGACAAUAAACAAAAUUCAUAGUUUAAGAACGAAAAAAAA